rnacentral:rRNA from 1 species
CCCUUAGAUGUUCUGGGCUGCACGCGCGCUACACUGAUGCACUCAACGAGUUUACGCCCUUGCCCGAUAGGGUUGGCUAAUCUUUUCAAAAUGCAUCGUGAUGGGGAUACACUAUUGCAAUUAUUAAUCUUCAACGAGGAAUUCCUAGUAAGCGCGGGUCAUCAGCACGUGCUGAUUACGUCCCUGCCCUUUGUACACACCGCCCGUCGCUCCUACCGAUUGAGUGCUCAGGUGAGGCUUUGGGAUCUGAGCGGAAAGAGCGUUUCGCUGUUUCUGCCCGGAAAACUCAGUCGAACCUUAUCAUUUAGAGGAAGGAGAAGUCGUAACA